rnacentral:rRNA from 1 species
GUUAGGAAUAUUGGACAAUGGGCGCAAGCCUGAUCCAGCCAUGCCGCGUGAACGAUGAAGGCCUUCGGGUUGUAAAGUUCUUUAGCCGAUGAUUAUAAUGACUGUAGUCGGAAAAUAAGCCCCGGCUAACUUCGUGCCAGCAGCCGCGGUAAUACGAAGGGGGCGAGCGUUAUUCGGAAUCACUGGGCGUAAAGCGUGCGUAGGCGGUCUCGUAAGUUAGGAGUGAAAGCCCAGGGCUCAACCUUGGAAUUGCUCUUAAAACUGCAAGGCUAGAAUCUCGGAGAGGAUAGCGGAAUUUCCAGUGUAGCAGUGAAAUGCGUAGAUAUUGGAAGGAACACCAGUGGCGUAAGCGGCUAUCUGGACGAGUAUUGACGCUGAGGCACGAAAGCGUGGGGAUCAAACAGGAUUAGAUACCCCAGUAGUCC